CCUACGGGUGGCAGCAGUGAGGAAUAUUGGUCAAUGGGCGGAAGCCUGAACCAGCCAAGUCGCGUGAGGGAAUAAGGCCCUACGGGUCGUAAACCUCUUUUGCCGGGGAGCAAGGGCGGGGACGUGUCCCGGCACGGAGAGUACCCGGAGAAAAAGCAUCGGCUAACUACGUGCCAGCAGCCGCGGUAAUACGAAGGGGGCAAGCGUUAUCCGGAUUUACUGGGUGUAAAGGGGGUGCAGGCGGGGAUGCAAGCCAGGAGUGAAAGCCCGGGGCCCAACCCCGGGACUGCUCUUGGAACUGCGUGGCUGGAGUGCAGGAGAGGCAGGCGGAAUUCCUGGUGUAGCGGUGAAAUGCGUAGAUAUCAGGAGGAACACCGGUGGCGAAGGCGGCCUGCUGGACUGCAACUGACGUUGAGGCACGAAAGCGUGGGGAGCAAACAGGAUUAGAUACCCUUGUAGUC
rnacentral:rRNA from 1 species